rnacentral:rRNA from 1 species
GACGAACGCUGGCGGCGUGCUUAACACAUGCAAGUCGAGCGGAAAGGCCUGCUUUCCCUUGUGGAUUGCGGGUACUCGAGUGGCGAACGGGUGAGUAACACGUGAGUGAUCUGCCCCCAACUUGGGUAUAAGCCUGGGAAACUGGGUCUAAUUCCCGAUAGGACUGCAGGGUGGUGCCUGUGGUGGAAAACGAUUUUCUAGUGGUGGGGGAUGAGCUCGCGGCCUAUCAGCUUGUUGGUGGGGUAAUGGCCUACCAAGGCGGCGACGGGUAGCCGGCCUGAGAGGGUGGACGGCCACAUUGGGACUGAGAUACGGCCCAGACUCCUACGGGAGGCAGCAGUGGGGAAUAUUGCACAAUGGGCGGAAGCCUGAUGCAGCGACGCCGCGUGGGGGAUGACGGCCUUCGGGUUGUAAACUCCUUUCGACCGCGAGGAAGCCACCUGGUUGGAAGGGUGGUGACGGUAGUGGUAGAAGAAGCACCGGCUAACUACGUG